UCCGAAUUGGUGUAGGGGUCAACAUUGCCGCUUCUCAUGCUGACGUAAGCAAUUGUGGUUUUACGUAAUAUGUACGCGGCAGCCCGGGGUUCGAUUCCCCGAUUCGGAA